GGCUGGAGGCAGGCUGAGCCGGCGGGGGAGCGGGAGGCUGUGCCCAGCCAUGAGCCGCCUCCCUCGCUCGCUCCCGCCCGCCCUCCCGCAGGAAUCCCGGGCGGCGCGGCGGCACCCGGACGCGCGGCUCCCCGGGGCUGCGCAGCGGCAGCGGCGCGGAGAGGAGCGAGCGGGGGAGUCGCGCUGCGAGGAGGAGCCGCCGCCUCAUCCUGCGGCACCGGCCCGGCCAGCGCAGGUGGCAGUGUAGAAGCCAAGAACAAAAAUUGGCAGAAAUUGUGUUCUGUGUACGAGACGAUGAAGAGUGUACUCAUGACUAAGCACAGGAACCUGGAAAACCACAGGCUUUAGUCAGGGGAUCCCUGAUGAGUAGCCAGCCCACCAAGAAGGGACUUGAGCACACAGGUCGUUUUGGAUUAAUGCUGUGGAUCAAUCAACCCAGACCUUGUAGUUGCCCAUCAGUCGCUCAGUAGUCAGUGUAGAUUCUGUCUUUACAAUCAGCAGCUACAUCUGGCUACUGGGUCUCUGAUGACAUCUCCUACCU